CAAGGCUCAAGAGGCAUUGCAGGUUUGGCCACUGCUACGUGUGUGUCAGUAGGUGGCAGAGAGGAGAAAGGCUACGUCCACGCUCAGUGAUGGCCUCAAGGUGCUAUUAGUUGGUCCUCCAGAACUCUGUCUGU
ensembl:snoRNA LOC120094940 small nucleolar RNA SNORA17